UGUCAAAAACGAGUAUUAAUUCUCCAAACAACAAAAUCAUAUGACGAAACGGAGCAAACAACAGUAGAUCACAAGUCUAAAAGAAUCAAAAAAUACAGCGAGAGAGAGAGAGAGAGAGAGGAGGAGGAGGAGGAGGAGGAGAAGAAGAAGUGGAUAGCGUACGCAGCCAUCUUCUUGUGCGUGUAACGGAUGGGGAAGAAGGAAAACCCUACGAUUCAGAGACACCUUACUCCUACAGAUGGUGGGCGUGAAGGAGAGCGUGCCACCACAAAGGUCUUUAUUAGGGUUAGGGGUGUUUUGGAUGAAGUGGACCGGUCUUCAUUGGAAGUUUUUUGAACCGGCUUCGGUCGAAUCGACACGUACUCUCCGGCGGACCGGUCACGUGCGUUGCGUUCGCCACACGAACUCCCUCGUCUCGCUCUCCGCCACACGAACUUCCUCCUCUGUUGCCGCCUUCCUCCGCCUCGGGGAAGGUCUCCGACGCGCUUCACACUGUUGGGCUAGUAGAGGUCGAUGAUGAACACGAAGAAGAGGUUGCUUCAGAGUGCACAAAUUAUGGCACUCACUUGUGUCUUGAUAUUUGAUCACCAAGCCCAAAGUGCAGAUGAAGCAGUCAGGAUCUUUAGGGAAUUUUGGAGAUCAGAAAGGCUGGAAGACUGAAACACCAUCACUGACCUUUUGACUGGCUUACUUCCUCAAGGAAAACAGCUAACAGACGAACUUUUACCUCUCAUGGUCCUCUUUUUCACCGGUAUUGAACUGCAACUGCUAGUAAUGGGAUGGACAAAUAACUCCUCCCUGUCAGAUUGGUUCAAGGAGGAUGAUCUGCAGCCUAGGUGUCCCAUAUAAGAAGAGCGAGACGCAGGCAUUAAUUGAUAUCAAGGGCCGCUUCUUUGGUGGAAGAAUGGUGCAUGCUUCAUUCUAUGGUGAGGAAAGGUUUAGAAACAAAGAGCUGGCUUCAAUGCAUUUAGAAGUACCUGGUUACCCAUGGGGAACAUUAUUAGGCGAUGAGCGUCUCCAGUGGGCUUUCUGGUAGAUGAUACGUCGGUAACAAUUGUAGCUUGUCCAUGGAGCUUAAUGCAGUCGACCAUGCAUGUCUAAGUUUUGGUCCGAGCUAUCAAUUUGAGGUUCGGGUAACUCUUUGUAAAGCAUUAAAGGAUGUUCUUGGUGAGGAUUGUAGACCUGGAAACGUGCUUACAUGAUCUGUUAAUGGACAUUGUUUGUUCCUUCUUAAAACUGCAAGCUAUUGUCAUCCUGGUUUGUUCUUA